GGUGAAUCUCAAGCUGGGAAAUCCGGAAAACAUAUAAGGAGAAGAGAGAAGUGGGGCUCCUGCAGGUCUGGAAGCGAUGAGUAAGAAGAAAAGGGGGUAAAGGAAUCGAGGCUAAUGGACACCUGUACCAUACAACCGGGGACAUAAAUUUGUUUUCCAUCCUCAUCUGGGGCUCCUUAUUUUCCAACUCCCCCAACCACCUCGAGCUCAGGGGCGUAGAAAGAAGAGGAGAUCGACCCUGCCAGGCGCUAGCCAGGGCAAGCAGUGAAGGAGUUAAGGCAGGAUUGGGGGAAGGCCGACCGGCAGAAGGGAGCAUGUGCAGUCUGCAACCGCUUCCAUACUAUGGGUGAGUGCCACUGGUACAUUGAAAUCUUCAGCCACGGCCGCAAUUGCCCUCGCGCUAUCCAGGCAUCUUCCUAAGCAGGAGAAGACAAUGCGGGUGUGAGUGGCAGAACAGAGAGGCGCAGAGCAGACACGACCCAGAGCGAGCCAGUGCGCGCCCCGGAGGGCUGCCGUGGGGGUGGGGAGGAGGCGGAGGAGGCGAGCGCUCCAGCCCGGGGAGGAGGAGGACGCACAGAGGAGCUGAGAGCUAGCUCCUGGGCAGCACCUGAAGCGGACGGCUGGCCCGGCGGGCCCCAUGCCCCCGCACCAGUGAUCUCAGUUUCUGGUCCCCGCACUGAGACACAUAGAGCCCACACACCUGCAAUGACCAAGGAACCUCUGAAUCCUGGGGCUGAUGCUUGCCCGUUCUACUGAGGAUGGCACCACACCCCAGUUUCCCACUAGGAAGAAGACUGACCCGAGACAUUCCUGGACAGUGAUCCUGAUGUCUCUUCUAUGCAGACCAUUCAAGUGUGAGAUAAGUGAGUAAGUUACAAUCCCUGUUGAGGCCUCUGUCGCCAUCUUGUCCCUAAUUCUGUCAUUUGGGCCCCCUAGUCUGAACCAGCCACAGAGAUUGGAUGUUCUGAGUUCUAGUACUGUCUGAUUCUGCCACCCAUAGACCAAUGCAUGGUGAAUGAGAGGCCCUUGUACCUUUCCCAUCUCAGAGGUGGGAAGCAGUUGAACCUGGGCCAAGAAUAUUCUAAGUCUAGAAAUGAGUGGCUUUGGGAUCUCAAAUGGAGUCAAACACCUAGACCCAGCCUCUAGCAGACCCAAAGGUGAGGAUUUCUACUUGUAGAUGAGAGCUUAAAAUCAAGUGUUAGGGCUUAGUUACCUCUUAUCCUAGGUCGUUAUGAUCAGAUUUGUCUCUGUAGGAUCUCUUGGGUGUUUUUGGUAGCUGCAGUGAUCCGUGAGUGCUGGAUAUUAGGAAAUGAUUUGUUUUACCGGGUGACUCUCAAAAGGGACCAUGUUUCUGCACGUAGUAUCUUAUAGACAUCCUGUCCCUGAGAAGAAGAGAAGGCCUGAGGCAGAGCUAACCAGCGAGAGGUCUGCGAUGGUUUUCUCAUCAGAGGAUAGGUUAUCUGGGUUGUCCUCUUAGCUGUUGCCCAGACUGUCCACAUCCAAGUUCUACCCCAGGCUCUGAUUAAAAUAUCUCAUUCCAUAAAGCAUGGUAAGGCCAUGACUUUUGUGUCUCUAAAUGGGGAGUGGAACAAGUAAAGUGGGAUAAGGAGGAAUAGAUCUAUGAUAUAACUUCAUCCUACUUCAGGGAUGACUCUAGCUUUUCAGUCCUCAGUUUUUAUUGGUGGCUCUAGGCCCCCAAAAGCCAAAUAUGCCCUUGGAGGCCCUUUGUUUAGCUGUUGGUUAUGCUAGGCCCAUG
rnacentral:lncRNA from 1 species